GACACUGACAAUGAUGGAGAUCUCGACUGUCUGACCGCUGUCAGAACGAAAUAUGAUAAUGAUGGACCAACUGCUGAUUACGUCUGGGUUCUCAAGGGUCUCAAAGGCCAUGUGAAAAAGAACAUCACGUUUCACUUCGCGAAGGAAGACGCACCUGACAAGGCAUCCGUCUCUGUCGAUGACGAUGACGGUCAAAAGCAGGAAGCUAGAGCCAUCUAUACGGACUACGAGACCUGCGCCGUGUUGGAGAUUCCAUAUAACGGAAAUCCAAGUGCAUUCUAUGGACUACAGACGAAGCCAAAGACAAUGUCCCAACUAAAUGUACCGAGCAAUUCCGAAAGAACUGCGACGUAGAAGUUAUCGCCUACGAUAAGGAGUCUUGCAGUCAAGUAUAAUGGGACGGACCGCAUG